rnacentral:rRNA from 1 species
UGGGGAAUUUUGGACAAUGGGCGAAAGCCUGAUCCAGCAAUGCCGCGUGUGUGAAGAAGGCCUUCGGGUUGUAAAGCACUUUUGUCCGGAAAGAAAUCCUCUGGGUUAAUACCUCGGGGGGAUGACGGUACCGGAAGAAUAAGCACCGGCUAACUACGUGCCAGCAGCCGCGGUAAUACGUAGGGUGCAAGCGUUAAUCGGAAUUACUGGGCGUAAAGCGUGCGCAGGCGGUUUUGUAAGACGGAUGUGAAAUCCCCGGGCUUAACCUGGGAACUGCAUUCGUGACUGCAAGGCUAGAGUAUGGCAGAGGGGGGUAGAAUUCCACGUGUAGCAGUGAAAUGCGUAGAGAUGUGGAGGAAUACCGAUGGCGAAGGCAGCCCCCUGGGCCAAUACUGACGCUCAUGCACGAAAGCGUGGGGAGCAAACAGGAUUAGAUACCCUGGUAGUCCACGCCCUAAACGAUGUCAACUAGUUGUUGGGGAUUCAUUUCCUUAGUAACGUAGCUAACGCGUGAAGUUGACCGCCUGGGGAGUACGGUCGCAAAGAUUAAAACUUAAAUGAAUUGACGGGGUCAUAGCUGUUUCCU